AUUUGGAAGAACAGAUGAACUUAGGGAGACAACAUCAAAUUCAGAAUACUCAAUUUUGAGAUUGCAGAGCAUUUCUUAAUGUAGCCAUCGUAUUUUAUUAUAUCUUACAUAUUCCCCUCUUCAAAAGAAAGGUUCAGAGAGCAUUUUCGGAGAAAAAAGCAUUAAGCAUUAGUGAAGCAAAAGAAAGUUUAUCAUAUGAGGAAAGACAUGAGGAAGCAUCAAGGACAUAGCCUGCAAGUUUUUUUGCAACUGCUAGUCCAAUGGUAGGUUACGCGCUUACCAUGGUCGUAACGGGUGACGGGGAAUCGGAGUUCAAUUCCGGAGAGGGAGCCUGAGAAAUGGUUACCACAUCCAAGGAAGGCUGCAGAUGCACAAAUUACUCACUCCCAGAAUGGGCAGGUAGUGACAAAAAAUAACAAUACGGGACUCUUUUGAGGCCCCAUAAUGGGAAUGACUACACCUUAAAUCAUUUAACGAGGAUCAAUUGGAGGGCAAGUCCGGUGCCAGCAGUCGCAGUAAUUCCAGCUCCAAU
rnacentral:ncRNA from 1 species